GGAAAAUACUGCACCCAUCAAUAUGUCCCCGUUAUAGCAUGUUUGAACCAACUAUGAAAAGGGUUAACGUAACUAAGCCCGUUAUUUUCUAGGUUCCGAUCCAAGCCCGUUACGCACCGACCACAACACUGGAACAUCAAGGUUUUCUGCUCACAGAGCGGUCCGAGCAGGAGCGGUGGCACUCCGGUGAACGUGGAUUAGUGUCCCUAGAUGGAGAGCUCUGAGGGAAGCCAGAGGACCAACUUAUGACGCUGCUUUCCUCCAUCUCCAGACUUAAAGGGCAUCGACAUGGCCACUUCAUUACUACCGAGGACAGCAGACACCUGACCCGUAACGUUGAAAGCAUUUGCGUUUUUUGGCUCAAAUCCUACCGCGUCCCUCAGUCGGGCGAGACCGGCGGACAGUCUGGAUAACAACGUCCGCCACCUAGUGGCGGCAUUGGUUCUAAACAUGAAGGAUGAACACAUCCAGGCUUCAGGAAGCAGAACCUGAACAUGGCCCGGUCAGUGAUGGCAUGGCGGAUGUCUGAAAGUCAGUCAAGUCAGUUAAAAGUUGACAAGCCACAAAAGUAACAAUCUAUCUCUUCAACAUAAUACCAUCAUCAGAGAAGCUCAAUUCAAAUCAAGAAAAGGGAAAAGCACUCAGGUGUCAACCCUCUCACCCAGCGUACACACGUACAAACCUGCCAAUCAACUUAUCACACACAACAAUCUGUGGGAUCGAUUGGGAACCGCACAGAGAGCUGGCUCCCAGACCGCUCCCACAGUUGGCUGAUCUGGAACCAGCGCACCGCCAUGGACUCCAGGCCCUUCUGGAUAACUGAUGGGCCACACCCUCCCUUAGCCUGAAGGCUUCCAGGUGUGGAGAAACCUUGACAUACUGAACUGGUGUCCCCACAGCACUCAAAAGUUUUUAGACAAAGCAUUAUAGCUUAAGGGGUUAGUGUUAGGUUAAAUAUAUAGAAUAUGAACUAGGAUAGCCUAUAUGAGGCAUUCACAAUAAGCAUGAAAACAAUUGGCACUGCUCUGUUUGAAUCAAAAUAAUAAAAAAGAGAUGGUAACAAUUAUAAAACAAAUCCUGGCUUUUUAAGAGGCUCAAACCUUAAUGAAACGUCCAGGUGCUGGCUGAAUGACGCCAGCCCCACCAUGUCGCCUCACAUUCCAGGAUGGAUCCGUCACGCGGGCUCGUGUUGUCGUGGAAAACCCUCCACUUACAGUGUUUCUUCACAUGUACACUCUAAUCCUUCAGAGUAAAGGUCCUUUGACAUCGGGAGCUCACCUGUCAUUAUGUGUAUGUACUUAAAGGUAUGGAUGCCAUGGUUAUUUUUGUUUAACUCAAGUAUACCACACAUUUGUAUUCUUAUUUAUUUCUAACCAAGUUGAACGCGUGUUGUAAGUUAUGCCCAGCGGUCCCAGUGACAGUCAAUCUGUUGCUGUGAUCAGUGAACUUCUCUUGUGCACUUAAAUUCUCUAGUCUUCUGUAAAGCAAAACCACCACCACAAUACUACACAAUAAAUGUUCUAUUUUCAACAGC
ensembl:lncRNA